UACAGAGGUCCCAAGCGUUGUUCGGAUUCACUGGGCGUAAAGGGUGCGUAGGUGGUAGGGUAAGUCGGAUGUGAAAUCUCCGAGCUCAACUCGGAAAUGGCAUUGGAAACUACCCUGCUAGAGGGUCGGAGGGGGGACUGGAAUACUUGGUGUAGCAGUGAAAUGCGUAGAGAUGCGGAGGAACACCGAUGGCGAAGGCAGCCCCCUGGGCUAACACUGACGCUCAGGCACGAAAGCGUGGGGAGCAAACAGG
rnacentral:rRNA from 1 species